GACGAACGCUGGCGGCGUGCCUAACACAUGCAAGUCGAACGGAAAACAUAGCAAUAUGUUUUUAGUGGCGAACGGGUGAGUAACGCGUAGACAACCAACCUUUUUGUGGGGGACAACACUUCGAAAGGAGUGCUAAUACCGCAUACGCUCCAGAUGCCGCCUGGUGUUUGGAGGAAAGGAGCUUUACGGCUUCGCAAAAAGACGGGUCUGCGUCUGAUUAGCUAGUUGGAGGGGUAACGGCCCACCAAGGCGACGAUCAGUAGCCGGUCUGAGAGGAUGGACGGCCACACUGGGACUGAAACACGGCCCAGCCUCCUGCGGGAGGCAGCAGUGGGGAAUCUUCCGCAGUGGGCGAAAGUCUGACGGAGCGAGGCCGCGUGAGUGAUGAAGGCCCUUGGGUCGUAAAGCUCUGUCAUCAGCGACGAACGGUCACGUCAGGAAAUGGGCGUGAAUUGACGGUACCUGAGAAGGAAGCCACGGCUAACUACGUGCCAGCCGCCGCGGUA
rnacentral:rRNA from 1 species